AUACUGAACCUGGCAGGUGAGAUACCUGAUCAUGAAAGUGGUUUUCCCAGGGCAAGUCGUGUCCAUUGCACUCUGAGUGUGCUGACCCCUGCAAUUUUCCCAAAUGUGGGAAACCUAACUGCAUAAUUUGUGGUGCUAGAGGACUGCGUUCACAAUCUGUAC